rnacentral:lncRNA from 1 species
UUUUAUGUGGGAAACUUCUUUUUUUUUUAAAUUAUUCUGGCCACCAUAAAAGGAUGAUAAUGUUGAAGGAUGAAAAUAUGACAGCUACUAUUGAAUAAAGAAUGUGAUUAUUUUGCAAAAUGGAUAAUGUUCCUAAUUACUUCUAGACUAGAAUAUAGUAAUUCCUUUCCUUUUAAUUUUUUUGUGUUGUUUCCUUAUGCUUUAGUUUUAGGAUUAUACAUUGAGCAGCUGUCUCAUCAUCAGUCUCAAAUAUACAUAAUCUAACUACAAACUGACAAACAUUCAGUAAAAUCUCACUAAUUCACAAUAAUUAGAGGAAAGACCAAUCUGAAAUACACACACACACACACACACACACACACACACACACACACUAUGCACUGAAGGAAAUAACAUUCUAUAUUGGACUGUAAGCAAUACCUAAACAGGGCAACAAUAGCAUUGCUAGAAUGGAUCUAGCAUGGCAGAGAUAAGACAUAAAAGUGUAAUUAGUAGGUCAAUUAUAUGUAAAAUGUUUCAAGUUACUUUAGUUCUCUCCUGAAAUCCUUUAUUUGUCAAAUUCUUUCUUUAGUCUCACACCCAUAUAUGAAAAAUCCCAUGUCAAAUGAAUAUACAGUUUUACUCUUCCUCUUGUUCAUUUUCAAUUCAUUCCCCAGAAUAAGUACAUGCUUAAAUUUUAAAGCCUUAUCUUUUUUCGUUACCCUUAAAAGAAAGUUCUUCAUGUAUUUUUAAAGUAAGAUUUUAAUAAUUGAGGGAAAAAAUAAAAGGCUUACCAUAUGACUCUAGCCUAUAUUUUCCACAUGGAAUACAAAAUGGUAUCAUAAGAAGAUAUACUCUUCCUUAUUCCUCUUUCUCUCCUAGUCCUCUGUCAUCUAAUAGUAAUUUAUUAAUAGCCAUGACUUGAAGCUGAUUAAUCAUCGAAGCUAAUGAAGUUUUAAGCUUUAGGGGCCCUCACUAACACUGAUUUCUUCCAAGGUCCUGGGAAGAGUUCUAGCAAUGACUUCACAUAGCCUUAUGUUUUUGUUAAGUCUUCGAAAAUAAGGUAGUAUAACUUCAAGAUAAGCUAUACUAUCCUCCUUUUCCAUUUGAAUCCUCUCUGUCACACUUUGGGUUGCAUAAUUCUGGAGCGGCCAGGAGCAUUUUGGGACCUAGUUAAAGUUACCUGAGUUGGAAAUACACUUAGUUUGUGUUUUUCAUAGUCACUUGUGAGUCUAAUUAGCUUAUUUCUAGCUGUCCUAGUAUAGGAAUGGAUUUCAGAAAUACUCCUAUCUUCCACUGUGCUGACUCACCUGGCAUCAUGACAAAGAGUUACAAGUCCAAUGGUCCUAUAAAAUAUGAAUAUAUCAGAAGAACUCUGUGAAUUUAUUUAAGAUUAAUCAACCCAAAGAAAAGUUGACCUGAAAUUUAUAAAGUACAAAAGAAACAAUGUAGGUAUUUUCCAAAGUUUGUUAUUGUCAACAAAGUUUGAGCCAUCUCAAAGCAGAAUGUGGGGCAAGCAUUUGAGUGUAGACAGUUUAUAUAGGAUGUGAUUUUUAGACACAGAAAUGAGGUGUAGGGAAAGAAUGGAGGAAGGAAAAGCCCACUUGAAAUGUGUUAUUGUGGAUUCUGCUGUGGGGAAUGCAGGCAAGGUUUCACUAGGACUUUGGGAAGUGUAGGAAACACCUCUCAGAAUCAUCUGUGCAGAGCACGAGAGGCUGAGGCAUUUACUGAGGAUUUCUGUCUGCAGGGGGGUUAGGUUCCCUCCACUCCAACUGAGUUGCUAUGAGAGUUGAGCAGGAACCAGAAAAGAAGGCCCUAAUGCACGAGAGCAAAGAGGUACAUUCAGGAGGUGAACACUGCCAGCUGUACACAGUUGCUUACCAAAACUGAGACUGAAAUCAGAGGUGGGCCUAUGAGAGAUGAUGUGGGAGAUCAAAAGCAUCUGCUACAGGUAAAUAUUUUUAUCUCCAUUUUUCUGAUGAAGAAACUGAAGUUCAGUGAGGGUAGGUCAAUUUCCUGAGAUUGCAUGGCACGUAAGUAAUAGAAAUAAGAUUUCAAUAUACACAUGUCUGAUGCCAAAGAUCAUUCAUUUUCUAUCAUAUUGCAUGCCUCCUUGGGAAGAGAGGACAUUUAAGCCACUGAAUCAUAUACACUUGGCACAGUUCAGGAAAAUGAUAUUGCUGGCUUGGGCCAGCAGGUGGGAGCAGAGGAAGUUAACAUGAUGAUUAAGUACCACACUACUCUUUUUGUAGUGGUUGCUGUGGGAGGUGAGCUCUCUUACCUUGCAGAAAAGCAUAUUAAAAUUUAUGAAUAAAUCACUGAUUCAUAUAGAUCCACUGGGCACUCUGGAUUAGGAGGAUAAUACAAUAUAAAAAAUCCUGUUGUUGAACCCAAAGAAAGAGUAGUUACCAUGUCAUGUCAGAUAGCUCAAAAUAUGAGGAUUAGUAAUACUCUAAUAUAGAUGACGUACAAUAGAGUUUUAUAUAUUUGACUCCAGCUAUAGCCCCAAGGGGAAUACAAUAAAAAUUUACUAACUACUUAGUCCACACCUGGAGUGACUUCAUGUAUGUUUUGUAGCUGAAAUAUUCAAAUGAGGCUAUUACAUGAUUAUAAAAAUCUGAGAGAAGUCCAAGGCCCAGUGGCAUGCAGGAGCCUAAUGGCUAUGGUAGACAAUACUAAGGUUUAUCAGGACUCUGUCUCUCUUCUACUUUCAGUAUAAAAAGACUACAAACUUUAAGUAUUCUGUCUUGGCAAUGAAACGGGAGCUGACACGCUGGGUACCACUUUGGAACUGAUGCGCUUGAUUGCUGAUGCUCACCUCCCCAGCCCUCUUUUCCAAAGCCACACAGUCUGUGAAAGCAUGUUUAAUUAUGCACAGCACAGGAGCCACAGAGCAAAUUAGCCUGGAAUGCUAAGCUUCUCUAUGGAGCACAGCUUCUUUGGAGUAACAGUGGACUUUGAAUGUUUGAGAAAUAAAGUUUUAUGUUGUUAAGCCAAUGAGACUAUUGUGGUGCUUGAUAUUGUGGCACACCAUAGCUUAAACUGACUGAGUGAAAGGAUAACAUCGAACAAAAGUCAAUGUGGUUUCAAAGGUCAUACAUGCUCUUUUUAGUGCAAAGUAUUGUCUCCUGUUUCUAGGUUUUACUUUAUUUUAAAAAUAUUUAACAUAUGUUUGAUUUUAAAAGUAAUUCAUAAACCAUAUGACCAUUUUGUAAAAAUAUACAGAAUGUACUAAAAAAGAAUGAAAAUUAUCUCAUAGUCCCAACACAAUUAAAAUUUUGGUAUAUGUGUUAUAUAUAUAAUAUAUAUAUAUAUAUAUAUAUAUACUUUUAAUCU